GGGUGCGUAACGCGUAUAGAACCUACCUUUACAGAGGAAUAGCCUUUAGAAAUGAAGAUUAAUGCCUCAUAGUAUUGUAGACUGGCAUCAGUUUAUAAUUAAAGAUUUAUCGGUAAAAGAUGGCUAUGCGUCCUAUUAGUUAGUUGGUAAGGUAACGGCUUACCAAGACAGCGAUAGGUAGGGGUCCUGAGAGGGAGAUCCCCCACACUGGUACUGAGACACGGACCAGACUCCUACGGGAGGCAGCAGUGAGGAAUAUUGGACAAUGGAGGAGACUCUGAUCCAGCCAUGCCGCGUGUAGGAAGAAUGCCCUAUGGGUUGUAAACUACUUUUAUACAGGAAGAAACACUGGUAUGUAUACCAGCUUGACGGUACUGUAAGAAUA
rnacentral:rRNA from 1 species